rnacentral:rRNA from 1 species
ACCUGAUAGUUGGAUCCUGGAAUCAGAAUGAAGGAUGACGUCAUGCGGCAGCACCAGUCAAGUCACACCGAAGGAUUCGCCCUUAGUGGCGCACGGCCGCGGAGCGCGUGGGAAUAAUGCCCGCAGGUUCUGAAUAGCAGAGAGAAAUGACUGCUAAUACCCGGAUGAAGAGAUCGGUCCAAAGUUUUAUAGCUCAAGGAUGAGCCCGCGUAUAGAUUAGCUAGUUGAUGAGGUAAAGGCUCGCCAGGGCGACGAUCCUUAGUUGGUCUGAGAGGAUGAUCAGCCUCACUGGGGAGGAGACACGGGUCAGUCUCCUACGAGAGGCAGCAGUGUGGAAUAUUGGCCAAUGGGCGAAGACGAGAUCCAGCAAUGCCGCGUGACUGAUGAAGGCGGUAGGGUGAUAAAGCUCUUUUACCAGGGAUGAUAAUGACAGUCCCUGGAGAAUAAGCUCCGGAUAAUUCCGUCCCAACAGCCGCGGUAAUACGGAGGGAGAUAGCGUUUUUGGGAAUUUGUGGGUAUAAAGCGCAUGUAGGCGGCCAUUCAAGUCAGAGGUGAAAGUCCGGGGCUCAACCCCGUAACUGCCUGUGAAACUAGAUGGCGUGAAUGUUGGAGAGAAGAGUGGAAUUCGGAGUGUAGAGGUGAAAUUCGUAGAUAUUCGGAAGAACACCAGUGGCGAAGGCGACUCGCUGGACAACUAUUGACGGUGACGUGAGAAAGCGUGGAGAACAAACAGGAUUAGAUACCGUGGUAGUCCACGCCGUAAACGAAGCUAACUAGCUGUCCGGGUUCAUGCAAAUUGGGUGUCGCAGCUAACGCAUAAGUGUCCGCC